CCUGGCGGCACGCUUAACACAUGCAGUCGAACGGGAUCUUCGGAUCUAGUGGCAGACGGGUGAGUAACGCGUGGGAACCUGCCCAGUAGUAGAGAAUAACUUGAGGAAACUUAAGCUAAUACUUUAUACACCCUUCGGGGAAAAGCUUUAUGCGCUAUUGGAUGGGCCCGCGUUAGAUUAGUUUGUUGGUGAGGUAAUGGCUCACCAAGACUACGAUCUAUAGCUGGUCUGAGAGGAUGAUCAGCCACACUGGGACUGAGACACGG
rnacentral:rRNA from 1 species